GAUGAAGAACGUAGCGAAAUGCGAUACGUAAUGUGAAUUGCAGAAUUCAGUGAAUCAUCGAAUCUUUGAACGCACAUUGCGCCUGCCAGCACUCUGGCAGGCAUGCCUGUUCGAGCGUCAUUUCAACCAUCAAGCCCUAGGCUUGCGUUGGAGCCCUGCGGCUGCCGCAGGCCCCUAAAAGCAGUGGCGGGCUCGCUAUCACACCGAGUGCAGUAGAUUACUCUUCGCUCAGGGCGUGUGGCGGGUUCCAGCCGUGAAACCCCCUACUUCUCAAGGUUGACCUCGGAUCAGGUAGGAAUGCCCGCUGAACUUAAGCAUAUCAAUAAGCGGAGGA
rnacentral:misc_RNA from 1 species